rnacentral:lncRNA from 1 species
ACCAGUGUUCAAUACAGUUAUUUGGGAGUAAGUAAUAACAUUUUAUUCCCAGUGCUAUCUGACUUAUAUUGCAUUAAAAUAAAUAUCUAAAUUGAAAUCAAGUUAAACCCUUAAGAAUACAAUAAUUAAGAUCUCCUAAAUCUGAUGUGUGUGUUAUUAUCAUCUGCAAGCCCUUUGGUGCCCCCUGUGCCCCAAUGUCACUGUCUCACAGGGUCUGCUGUGGGCGCUGCUCCAGGUUUGGCUGUGCAUUCAUUUGCUCCCCAUCCCUGGCAGGAGCCUCUCUCUGCUGCCAGUCAGGAACUUUCACUCAGCCAGUCACCCCUAACCACACUCUUAGAUCCAGACCAGAUUUGUUGCUUUGGUUCCCUGCACUGGUGUAGCUCAGUAAAUAAUGAAGCGUGAUGCCGGUCAAGCUUUCAAGCAGGCUUCUCAAGCAGCCCUUGCAAACCCACGCACCAGCCCCUGGCACAGUGUUGGUCUGGAGGUGACAGAGAGGGCUGAGGGCCAUGCUGGGCUGGGAACAAUCCAUGGAGCAGGACAGCCCUCACCUCAUCCUGGAGAUUUGAAGCAUUUGAAGAUACAAGGGGUUAAACAAACCAAGAGGAUGCAGAUUUGGUACAAGGCACAAUAUCUGCCUAUGUUUUGCCAUAUUCACGUAUUCCAGGAGCAAACAGGAGGCACUGAAGGGGCAGGAUGGUGGCUCCUUUGCCAAGCAAAAAGAGGAUAUAUUUUCCCCUCCUCAUUAUCCUACUCCAUCUCAGGCUGAGGCUAAACAAAGCCAUGAACAGCCACAAUGAAACAACAAGGGAAACUACUGGAGUUUUUGGAGUGGGAUGGUUUGGAAUUUUUUAUUUAACAUUGACAUAUUUUCAGUAAUAAGAGAAGAUGCACAUAUACACACAAAAGAGGUCUCUUUCCAAGAGAAAUGAUACAACAAAACUCUGAUUGUAAUUCAAGAAUUGAGGUGGCAUGUGUAUAUGUAAUAAAUCUCACAGAAGAGAAUCUUUUGUGACAUUCUGUUACAAGGGGAAUGAGAAAAGCUGCACAGACACAAAAGUGUGGGAGUGAACAAGAGCAUCUCUGCAGAAUGGAUC